CUACGGGUGGCUGCAGUGAGGAAUAUUGCACAAUGGGGGGAACCCUGAUGCAGCAACGCCGCGUGGAGGAUGACGCAUUUCGGUGUGUAAACUCCUUUUAUAUGUCAAGAAAAUGACGGUAGCAUAUGAAUAAGCACCGGCUAACUCCGUGCCAGCAGCCGCGGUAAUACGGAGGGUGCAAGCGUUACUCGGAAUCACUGGGCGUAAAGGACGCGUAGGCGGGUUGGAAAGUCAGGUGUGAAAUCCUACAGCUUAACUGUAGAACUGCACUUGAAACUUCUAAUCUAGAGUAUGGGAGGGGGGGAUGGAAUUAGUGGUGUAGGGGUAAGAUCCGUAGAUAUCACUAGGAAUACCUAAAGCGAAGGCGAUCUCCUGGAACAUUACUGACGCUAAGGCGUGAAAGCGUGGGGAGCAAACAGGAUUAGAUACCCGGGUAGUC
rnacentral:rRNA from 1 species